rnacentral:tRNA from 2 species
UCUAAUGUGGCAGAUGAAGUGUAUUGGAUUUAAGCUCCAAAAAUAAAGUAACCUUUCUUUAGAA